GACGAACGCUGGCGGCGUGCCUAAUACAUGCAAGUAGAACGCUGAAGAGAGGAGCUUGCUCUUCUUGGAUGAGUUGCGAACGGGUGAGUAACGCGUAGGUAACCUGCCUUGUAGCGGGGAAAACUUAUGGAAACGGUAGCUAAAACCGGAAAAAAAUUGAAGACCAAUGUCAUUUUUUUGAAAGGGGGAAUUUCUCCACUACAAAGUGGACCUGCGUUGUAUUUGCUAGGAGGUGAGGUAAUGGCUCACCUAGGCGACGAUACAUAGCCGACCUGAGAAGGUGAUCGGCCACACUGGGACUGAGACACGGCCCAGACUCCUACGGGAGGCAGCAGUAGGGAAUCUUCGGCAAUGGGGGCAACCCUGACCGAGCAACGCCGCGUGAGUGAAGAAGGUUUUCGGAUCGUAAAGCUCUGUUGUAAGUCAAGAACGGGUGUGAGAGUGGAAAGUUCACACUGUGACGGUAGCUUACCAGAAAGGGACGGCUAACUACGUG
rnacentral:rRNA from 1 species